GCGCGUAACGAACGAUACCAAAACAUUUCGAUCAGCGUUCUCGGUAUAUAAGCGGUACGUUUCGGCAAUCUUUUAAUCCCGUCGCGUCGCGUCGCGAUCAUGCUGGAGCAUCGAAUACGAAUAGCUAUUUUAUUGUUGGCGUCGUCGAGGCGGUGUCUGGCCGAAGAUCUUCCUCGAACGGACGUGGUUCGUACCGCGAGCGGGCCGGUGCGAGGAGUAAUCAAGAAAACGGUAUGGAAUUCCGUGGAGUACUCGGCCUUUCUGGGGAUUCCGUACGCCGAACCUCCCCUGGCGAAUCUCAGAUUCAAGCCUCCGGUUCCGAUCAGCCCGUGGAACGAGGUGCUGGACGCCGUCGAAGAAGGCAACGCCUGCCCGCAGAUAGAUUUCUUCACGGCUCGGUACACGGGCAACGAGGACUGUCUGUACCUGAACGUGUUCACUCGACACGCGAAGGUUCGUCGACGCGCCGCAGCAUCGAUAUUCGAGUCCUCGAGGAAUCUACGCCGACGUCGAAAGUUUCGAAACGGAACGGGACCGAGACCCGUGAUGGUGUGGAUCUACGGGGGAGCGUACCUGGCCGGCUACAGCAACGCGAGCUUCUACGGGCCCGAUUUCUUCCUCGAAGAGGACGUCGUCUUCGUCAGCUUUAAUUAUCGCAUCGGCGCGCUAGGAUUUCUCUCGUUGGACCAUCCGGACGCUUCGGGCAACGCGGGUCUGAAGGAUCAGCAUCUGGUUCUGAAAUGGGUGCAGAAGAAUAUCGCGGCUUUCGGUGGGAAUCCGAGGGAAGUGACGAUUUUCGGGGAAAGCGCGGGCGCCGCUUCCGUAGGAUUUCACAUUUUGUCGGAGAGAUCUAUAGGGCUGUUCCAUCGAUCGAUCGGCAUGAGCGGAACGCCUUUGUGCCAGUGGGCGUACCAUACUCCCGCGGAGGCUUACCGCAGCGCCGCCGAGCUCGCGCAGCUUCUGGGCAAAGCGGAGAUCACGAAGACCGGUUUGCUGGAGCUCCUGCGCGACGUUCCUGCGGACGCUCUGGUCAACCAGGCGAUGAAACUUAAUCUGAACGACCUGCUGCCGUUCCGACCGACGAUCGAGGAUCCCGCGGUUGCGACCGACGACAGCGCGUUCAUGACCGAAUGCCCCAUCAGGAAAUACCUGACCGGCAACUUUACCCAGCACCCCAUGAUGAUGGGACGCACUCACGACGAAGCGUUGUUCUUCUUAGACGACUACGUCGGCAACCCGUCGGACCGUGCCAAGACGAUGUCGAAAUGGCUCGGACAAGUCACGAACAUCGACGAGAUCCUGACCGAUCGAAUCUCCGACGCGAUGGCGUUCAACUUGGAUCAGACGUCGCCCGAGUUUCUCGAGCAGAUUUUGGCUAUGUUAACCGACGUCUUCUUCACGGCACCCAUCGACUUGACUCAGAGAAUCGUCUCGAGAUGGAACUCGGGUUAUCCGAUUUAUUAUUACCGGCUCUCGUACACGUCCGCGUACAGCGUUCACUCGCUGGUGGGUCAAACCGUGAAAGGGACCGGUCACGUCGACGACAUCGGAGACUUGUUCAACGUGGCAUCGUUGAACGCGCCGACGGACCCGAAACAUCCGUUCAAUAUCUUCCGAAGAAAAAUGGUGAGGCUGUGGACGAACUUCGCCAAGCAAGGAGAUCCUACGCCGAAGGUUUCGAGCCGUCGGACCGACGAAGAGUUCGACGUGAUUUGGACGGACAGCACAGAAUCGGGGAUGCAAUUGGAUAUCAAAGAGGAAUCGGUGAUGCGACCGCGUCUGGUCGACUACGUCGCUCAGACUUACGAGGAAGCUUUGUUCGCUCGUCUUCCGUUUCAAUCGGCGUGCAUCGAUUUGUCGCUGAUUCCUCUCGGCAUCUUCAAAUUGCAGCUUUGACGCGUUAUUCUCCGCUUCGAGCCCUGCCAAAGAAUGCCACCGAAAAUCUGUUCGUCUCGUAAGCCGGCAUCGCGACGCGACAGGGACUCGAAGCUUCGGCGCCGGCUCCUCGAGCAUCGGCCGCGAGCAGCGGAGCAACCGACGUCCGACUCGAUCGAUCGACGGAGAGCUGGCUCUGGAAUUUCGCGCCAGUUAGAAUUUUGCGUCGACUGGCGGAAUACCUGCUCGAUAUUCUGAAUCCAGGCGGUCGAACACCGGCGGCUCUGCCGCCAGCAGCGCCUUCGACUCUCCCAGCAGCGCCUUCGACUCUCCCAGCAGCGCCUUCGAUUCUCCCAGCAGUCUCGGGGCCCCCAUCGGGGAAAGGGGACGUUGGAUCGCCGUUGCCCGUUGGCGGAGACCUCGCGAGCAAUCUGCUGCACGCCGGAGAAAGCUUGCCGAAAGCUUCCGUUCCGAAAAUAGGAAAGAGGGAUGUCCUCGAAGAAAGCGCGUCGGACUCGUACAGGCGGAACGAACCGUUCGGAAUCGCGUAGAAUCGCCGACGUCGCCGAAUUCGAGCGACGUAAGCGCGAUCGCGACUGGCACGCGGUUAUAAUUAUCGGACUGCGGAUCUUUGCGCGUUGUCCGAACAUUUUUUCAACGACGGACAACGUUUAUCGGUCGAAGUUGCGAACUCGUUCGUUUUAGUUUAUUAUCCCGGGAAACGUUUCGGUCGGCGAAACCGUCGAUUCGCGCGAAGAUCCGCAGCCUAGCGAUUAAAAAGUUCGUAUACGCGGAACAUCGAAUGUCGCGAGAUCGUGAGAUCGAUUCGAUGAAAUAUUAUUUCUUCCGUUGCCGCGUAGGUGCCGCG